UUUUAGGAUUUUAAAGGGGUGCAGAUCCUGGAAUGCCUGAACCAACAGUUUUAAGCCUACUUUGGGGAUAAAGGACUAUUUGGUCAUCUGGACUUGGAAGCAAUCCUGAACAGAAACACUAUGGAAGGUGUGUGCUCUGGAUGGGAUAAGACAUGGGACAUCGUUCAGGUGACCAGUCUUCAUUUGGAUGGCACAGGGCUCUUCUCAGAUGCAUCUGUGAUGGAGUAGAACCUCUUCUGACUUAUUUAUCAUACAUAGACUAUCAAAAUAAAUAUUUUCAACAAUGUUA